CAUUAGUGUCAAGCAGUUGCGCAAACAACACCUGGUAUUUUACUUCCUAAUAAUGGAGGGAAGACAACCAAGCCAUCUCCCUCUACAAGAUUCUCUCUGAAUAAAAAAAAAAAAUACCCCUCUUGACAAUGAAAGUGUCCCUCAAAGAAGGUA